CCGGUGCACGUGGUCUGCCCGGGCCUGUCCCUCGAGGCUGGACCCCGUGGCUGCAGGCACCGUGGCCCCCGGCUGCCUCCCCGGGGGAGUUUCACACUCCCGUCCCGCUCCCUGCUGUCCUCGGUCGGGGGGCGGACACUGAGGCGCCCGCCCGCACCAUCUCGUGCCCAGGUCCCCGAUUUUUCUUGCUCGCUUUUAUUUCACGGGCAGUGUUCGCAGUACAGGCCUCGCUCGCGGGGACUCGGUGCCCGGCCACCGCCCGCCGGGAAGCACGGCCGAGGCCGACGCAGCGGCAGCACCCGGCGCCUGAGGAGCGGAGGGCGGACUCCGCGGGCCGCGGCGGGGUCACAGAGCCGGGGCGGGGCCGCAGCCGGAAGUCGCCGCGCGCAUGGCGCCCCUGCGCUGGCUGCCGCUGCUCCUCGGGGCCCUGCUGCUGCGGGGGUCCCGGGCCGCGGGCCCCAUCCGGGCCUUCGUGGUGCCGCACAGCCACAUGGACGUGGGCUGGGUGUACACCGUGCAGGAGAGCAUGCGGGCCUACGCAGCCAACGUCUACACGUCCGUGGUGGCGGAGCUGGCGCAGGGGCAGCGGCGGCGGUUCAUCGCUGUGGAGCAGGAGUUCUUCCGGCUGUGGUGGGACCAGGUGGCCUCUGGGCAGCAGAAAGCACAGGUCCAUCAGCUCCUGGCCCAGGGCCGCCUGGAGUUUGUCCUCGGAGGCCAGGUGAUGCAUGAUGAGGCUGUGACCCACCUCGAUGACCAGAUCCUGCAGCUCACAGAAGGACACGGCUUCCUGUAUGAAACAUUCGGGAUCCGGCCGCGCUUCUCCUGGCACGUGGAUCCCUUCGGUGCCUCAGCCACGACGCCCACGCUGUUCGCCCUGGCAGGCUUCCAUGCCCACCUCAUCUCCCGCAUCGACUAUGAUCUCAAGGAUGCCAUGCAGAAGGCCCAGGGCCUGCAGUUCAUGUGGCGAGGGUCGCCGUCCCUGUCCACGCAGCAGCAGAUCUUCACGCAUGUCAUGGACCAGUUCAGCUACUGCACGCCCGCCCACCUGCCCUUCUCCAACAGGUCUGGCUUUUACUGGAACGGCGUGGCUGUCUUCCCAGAGCCUCCCCCAGAUGGGGUAUACCCCAACAUGAGCGAGCCCGUCACCCCGGCCAAUGUGGAGCUCUAUGCCCAGGUCCUGGUGGCGAACGUGAAGCAGCGGGCUGCCUGGUUCCGGACGCCCCAUGUGCUCUGGCCCUGGGGCUGUGACAAGCAGUUCUUCAACGCCUCGGUGCAGUUCGCCAACAUGGACCCGCUGCUGGACCACAUCAACAGCCGAGCCGCUGAGCUGGGUGUGACGGCUGAGUAUGCCACGCUGGACGACUACUUCCGUGCCCUGCACGAGCUCAAUGUCACCUGGGGCGUCCGAAACCACCAGGACUUCCUGCCCUAUGCCUCAGAACAGCAGCAGGCUUGGACGGGCUUCUACGCAUCCCGCAGCACCCUCAAGGGACUGGCACGGCAAGCCAGCGCCUUGCUGUACGCAGGGGAGUCCAUGUUCACACGCUACAUGUGGCCGGCACCCCGAGGGACUCUGGACCCCACUUGGGCACUGCAGCAACUGCAGCAGCUGCGCUGGGCUGUCUCUGAGGUCCAGCACCACGAUGCCAUCACUGGCACCGAGUCCCCCAAGGUGAGCAACAUGUACGUGGAGCACCUGGCCAUGGGCACACGGGGGGUGCACAAGCUGAUGGCCUCCAUCACCCAGGACAGUGCCCAACACGUGGCCCUGGGGUCUGACUCAGGUACAAGGCCCGAAGGACACCUUGCGUCUGUCUACAACCCGCUGGCCUGGACCGUCACCACCAUCAUCACCCUGACUGUCAGCUUCUCUAGAGCCAGCGUCACUGACGAAUCAGGCCGCCUCGUGCCCGCACAGAUCCAGAGGUCCACCAGGGACCCCUCUGCCUAUGACCUGCUGAUCCUGGUCACCAUCCCAGGCCUUAGCUACCGGCACUACAGUGUCCAGCCCACGACAGGGACCCGGGCAGCUGCCACCAUGGCCAGCACUGUCUGGUUUGGCCGCAGGCAGCGACACACCAGCAGGGGGAACAGGCGCCUGGUGACUGUGGUGAACAACUGCUACACGGUGCUGCUGGACCCAGACACCAACCUGCUGCACAGCGUCCAGGAGAGACAAAGCAACCGGACAGUGCGCAUGAGCCAGGAGUUCCUGGAGUACCACGCCAAUGGGGACGCCACGCGGGGCCCUAUUUCGGACAACUACCUGUUCGCGCCCAAUGAGACGGCUGUGCCUGCCUGGGAGGCUGUGGGACUGGAGGUGGUGGCAGGAGAGCUGGUGACCGAGAUCCGGCAGCGCUUCUACAGGGAUGCCACGGCCCAGGCUUACACAUACGCCAUUCACUCCCGACUGGCCCACGUGUCCCAAGGCCCUGGGGCAGAGCUGCUGUGCCACCGCAUAGAACAGGAAUACCGAGUGGGGCCCCUCGAGCUGAACCGCGAGGCCGUCCUGAGGACCAGCAGUGAUCUGGACAGCCAGCAGGUCCUCUACUCAGACAACAACGGCUACCAGAUGCAUCGGAGGCCCUACAGGGCCUAUGAGAGCAACACCAUUGCGCGGAACUACUACCCCAUGGUGCAAUCGGCCUUCAUCGAGGACAGCAGGAGCAGGCUGGUGCUGCUCUCGGAGAGGGCGCAUGGUGUCUCCAGCCCGGGUAGCGGGCAGGUGGAGGUCAUGCUCCAUCGGCGCCUGUGGAACAACCUGGCCUGGGACCUGAACUACAACCUCACGCUGAACGACACCUCCAUCGUCCACCCCGUGCUCUGGCUGCUGCUGGGGUCCCAGGCGGUCACCACUGCCCUGCACCCACAGAGCGCGCUAGCGCUACAGCACAGGCCGGUGGUGCUGCUCAGAGAGCUGCCGGGACGUGGGACUCGCGCCAAGGGACCUGCCUCAAGGCCCCAGGCCCCCCAACAGCAAGCCGCUGUGACGCUGCCCCCAAACCUGCACCUGCAGAUCCUGAGCAUCCCUGGCUGGAACUACAGCUCGAGCCACAGCGAGCACAUGCGGGCACUGCGGACCAGCCACCGAGGGCAGGCCCAAGCAGACCUGCGCCGUGUCCUGCUGCGGCUCCACCACCUGUACGAGGCAGGGGAGGACCCAGUGCUGUCACAGCCGGUGACAGUGAAUCUGGAGGCCGUGCUGCGGGGGCUGGGGGCCGUGGCGGCGGUGCAGGAGCGCUCGCUCACAGGGACCUGGGACGUGCACACCAUGCAGCGCUGGAGCUGGAGGACGAAGCCUGGCCGCCAAACAGAGACCCUCGGCCCUGAACCCCUGCUAAGCCCUGCCUCUCACCGUGAACUCGUGCCCACCACGGUGCUCUCGCCACUGUCCACAACAGCUGUGAGGUCCACCCCUGCAGUCCUGCACUCCACCAAUGGAGCUGGGGAGGAGUCGCUGUGCGGCAGCCCUGGGCCUCUGCCCCUACUCUCCUGGCUGUGUUGAUGUCCUGAGUGGACUAAAAACAUGCUUGGCAAAUUCUGCUAAGCAAAUAACGAUGGCCAGGGAUUCAGCUCAGCAGCAUAAGCACCUGCCUGCACACAGGAGGCUGAGGCAGGAAGAUCACCGUGAGUCCAAAGUCAGCCUGUACUACAUGAGUUCAAGGCCAGCCUGAACUACACAGUGAGACCCCUGUCUCGAAACAACAACAAAAGAUGAAGCUGGCAGCCGUGACAGUGUGACUGUUGGUGCCUCAGAGAAGCCAGGACAUUCAUCUACACAACAGCUGUGCCCAUAUGCAGCAUAGCAUCACAGGAAUCCAAAAGUGAAAACGGCCCAGUGUCCAUGGGUGGAGACAUGGCUACAUGUACCGUGGAAUACUACUGAGCCAUCAAAAGGAAAGGUCCUAAACUGGAACCUUGCGGGAGCCGCACAGAUUGGCUUCUUUCACCAUGUAAUGUCCAGAUUAGCUUCUCCCAUGUCUUCUCCCGUGACUCAUAUUCCACUGUCUGGAUGGCUGAAGUUGAGCCCUCUCCCCUACAAGAGGGUGGCUGUUGCUGAUCACAAGAGGAGCCACAAGGGGCGGCCAUUGACCGUGAGAACCGUCCCAAGAUGGCGGCACCCUGUCACGUGGUGGAGGGCCACAACAUGGCAACCGUUCCCGGUGCAAGCUGGAACAGUCACGCGGCUUGCCAGAAGGAAACAGUGACCCAGACCUAGUAUGGUGGACUGGAGGUGAGAAUGCUGUAGGGGACAGAGAAUUCUCAGAACAAUAAGAAGUCGGAGACUGCGAGGAAGUGCUAACAGAGGGAUUGGAGCUGCUGAGAGAGUUGUGGGCUCCGGGAGAUGGAGGGGAAAAUGAUUGAACAGCAGGAGAUAACUGCCACACAGAGGGAUUAGAGCUGCCAGGAGAAUUAGGGUGAGGGAGGGGAAGAUGAUCUCAUGGCAGGAGGUAAUGGCGAGCAACGAUUUUGGGGGUAGGUGGGCGGUGGCCAAUAAAAAACUGGGGGUAUUUCAUCUAGCAGAUCAUGAGGGCAGGGGGGGAGAGUUUGCGGCGCAACAAAGUUAGCUAAAAGUACCUGGGCAGGGGAACAAGAUUUAAUGAGAGAGGGGUGUGUUCUCAGAGCAAGGAAAGCUUGUACAUAAGGGAUCUCUGUUAACUUGUCACCGGCCUGGCAGAAAUCAUACAGAUUUUUGAGAAAAUUGGGGUCGGACAUCCCCUCUCUGGGCCAAGGGUUGCCAAUAAGUGGGUAGGUUGGCCAAACCUCCUGGCAGUAAAAAGUUAAUCAUUUAGUUUUUAUGAUGCUUUUAAUCUUAAGAGUAUGUGCAUUGGAAAUUAGGUAUUGUAAAGGCGUUUUUUAGGAAUUAGAAAAAAUGUUUCCCAUGAUUAAUUCAGUCAAGAAAUGAGCUGUGGUCCGGAGGGCGAGCCAUCACUCGUCCUGUGGCACCAAACAGUGGUUAGGGUCCAAAAACUGGUAUAUUCCAGUCAUCACUGAGAGAUUUACCAGUGGAGUCCACAUGGGGUCAGUAACAGUUCUGCCUGUGAGAGCCUAAAGCUCUGAGGGACGUGAGGGUCUUACAGUAUGGGCAGUCCAGAAAACUCUGUCUUGGGCUAUCCAAACCCAAAGGAUGUGAGAGAUUUUCGAGUGUGGAUGCACAUUGCCCAGAAAGACCCUGCCCUGGGCUGUCUUAAGGAGGUGAGAGUGUCACGAACCCAUAGAAAGUCGGGAGAAAACCUGCCUGGGGCUGAGCCCAGCAUCAAAGAAUUCUCCAGAGUUUGCUCACCUGAGAUUAAUUGGGCUGGUAUUGUGUGCAAGCGGUUGGUGAUAAGUCAAGCAGGUCCCAGGAGAGGAAAAGCAGAGAAUUAACCAAGGAUGUAAUCCGGUUCGUGAAUUGGCUGGGGACUCAACUGGGUGUGUCCCAGGAAUCAAUCACCUGCCCAUCAAGUCACGGCACCAAAUGAUAAGAUUAUAUCCAAAAGAUGAGAAGCAUAAAACAAAAGAGGCCUUUAUUCUGAGAACUUGUAGAGAGAAAACCAAAACAACCCCGACUGCUGGAGUCUGGCUUUCUCUCAGGUGGACACUUGGCGUGGGGGUAUGUAAGUAGCCUCAGUUUGGGGUGGAACCUAAAGGGGCAUCAGGGAUGCACGCGUAGCCCAUUGGUCUUGGUUUGGCGCCAUAGGUAAAUUCCUAAGGGGAGGGGGCUGGGGAUUUAGCUCAGCGGCAUAAGCGCCUGCCUUGGAAGCAGGCAGUCAUGAGUUCGAUCCCUGGUACCAGUAAAAAGGAAAAAGACAAAAAAAAAAAUUCCUAGGGGGCGGGGAAGAUGUCACAGGUAAAUUCCUAGGGGUGGGGGAAGAUAGGAGCUCCACCGGCUACAGUGUCCUAUCUGGGCCAAAACCCUUUCAGGUACUUCGCAAUUAAGGGAGACAACAAACACCUCCCACUUUAGGCCAGAUCUCAAGACAAAAGACAAAAUAAAUACAGCCACACCUCAAGGACUGAUAUGCUAAAUAUCCAUCACCUUGAGGAAGCCAAAAGUCACUAAUCCAACCCAUUACAGGCAAAGGCGGGUUCCUGUUUGCCACAGGACUUGCUUCUCUAUUGGGUCCCGAUUGAAUCAAUCUUUCCUGAGCAGUUACAAUCUUACUGGUUGAUCAUAAUUCUGUCCCAUCUCAUGCCCACCUUGCAAGGUCCCAUUCUUCCCCACUUUGGAUCUGCCACACCUCGUGGUUUUGUUCUAUAAAAGACCCUAGAAAAGGCGCUGGUGAUUUAGCUCAGUGGCAUAAGUACCUGCCUUGCAAGGGAGUGGUCAUGAAUUCUGAAAGAGUUUUUGCCCAGACAGGACACUGUUGCUGGUAAACCAUGAGGCGGAACCAAGGAGCUCCAUCUCCCCCACCCCUUAGGAAUUUACCUAUGGCACCAAAGACCAAUGGGCUACCUGUGCAUCCCUAAUGCCCUCUUAGGUUCCACCCCAAAUCUAGGCUACUUAUAUGCCUCCACUCCACGUGUUCCACGGAGAGAUUGUCAACCCUAGGGGGAGAUGCCGUGCCCCAGGGUGUCGGGGGUGUCUCUCCCCACAUUCUCAAAAUAAAGGUCAUUUAUAUUUCAUACUUCUUAUCUUUUCAGCCACCGCCAGUCCCCCACAGUUCUAUCAUAUGGUUCCCUGACCAGGAACGGCAGAUGAGAGACUCCUGGGGCUUUUUCCCAGUUUGAGUCCCCUGCCAUGCAGGACCAGGACCAGACUGCAUCCUGCAUUAAUUCCUCACUUCUACACUCGGGAGCUGUAAACUUGUUGCUGCCGGUUUGCAAACAACACCAACCCAAUUUACCCCAGGUGAGCAACCCCCUGGAGAUUGCCGCUGGGCCAGGCCCCAGGGGGGUUUUCUCCCCCUUUCCAUGGGUUCCCAAGUGAUGGUCUCAUGUCCUUAGAUAGCCCAAGACAGCAUCUUUCUUGGCCAAUCUGUGUCCACACUCGGAGACUCUCACAUCCUUUGGGUUCAGAUAGCCCAAGGCAGAGUCUUCCUGGUCCAGCCUAUGUCCACACUGAAAGACUCUCAUGUCCUUCAGAGCUUUUUAAGUUCUCACGGGCAGAGUUGUUAUUAAACCCAUGAGAAAUCCACUCAUAUAUUGGUGACGGCCAAUUAUUAUGAAUUUUGGAACCAUAUAAUAUACCGAUCAGUCUAUAAGUAAAGAGUGACAACUUACUCUUAGCAGACCACAGUCUGUUGCCUCAUCUGGCUAUAACUCCGUGGGCUAGACCUCACACCAGAUUUUAUCUUGGGGACCACUUCCUGUCCCUCCCCCAGAAAACCACACCUAUCUAUGGCUUUUCACACCUAUGACAAGUUUACAAAUCUCUCUAUCUUUAAGCCUUUGUUUUGAGCAUGUGUCCUUUCCCGCCAGCAUCCCUGUCCCUAUUGUUUCCUUGCCGCCUCCUCCCCUCUCCCCCCGCUGUGUGUGCCAUCCCAUUCCCCUCCGAGAUAGGAAAUGAGCCCAAACAGUGUUGAAAGAUAUGGGUGGCUACUUUAACCUCUCAAACACGUUCCAGCCCAAACAGUGUUGGGAGAUACUAUUGCUUUAGGCUUUCACACCGCCCCCCAACUCGUGCGUAGUAUCUUGGCUCUCAUGCCGUGCUCCAGGUCCACGCGGGUUGGCUUUAAUGCUGCACCCUAAUCUGCACACCCCGCGAGCAGUUUCAGCUCCAUGUAGCGGCUCAACUCCCCGUCAGUCCACCAGCGUGUAAGGUCCCAGCUUCAAGCCACGUCCCAAAUCUGCCACCCAGCUCCGCCCCCCAUGUGCCACUGCCGACACCAGCACCACCUCCACCUUGCACGUUUCUGGGGCCUAGUCCUAGCCCACCCCACGUGCUACGUCCUGGCGCUCGCCCCACCUUCACUCUACAUGCGCCACCCCAACAUUGGCGCCCCGCCUGCCCUAAGCACCCCACCCACUCUGCAUGUUCCACCUGUGCGCUGUGUGCCAGAGAGAUCCCAGCCCCCACCCCCAAGCACGGGUACAGCUCUGUCUGCAGGUGCACUCUGUCUGCCAGCGCACAGACCGGUGCAGCAGACAAUUGUGAUCUGCUGUUCGUGUUUUCAGAUAUAAAGUUCAGAUUGUUUCUGCUGCUUUUUUUGUGUUCCAGCCAUGACAAAUGUUUUCUUUUAGAUCCACAUAUACACUUAGAGAUGUUUAACAACUAUAAUUAAAAAUAAUUAUAAAUUCGUUUUGCUGGGAACUACUAGCUCUUUUCCAAAACAAGGGUUAUAUAAUAUAUGCAAAACAGCAAAACCAGCACUGCGACAGAAGCUAAACUCAGAAGCUAAACUUAAACCUUUUCCCAGCCUAUCUGCCUGCCCUGGCUCAGCCCUCCACUGAGCCAUAAUUAACUAUAUUCAACUGAUAUUAAAUAACACCAUAGCUGAUUUCUCUCAUAAAUAAAACAGUAAAAAAUUAAUUAAACAGGCCAUCCUCUAAAAAUCAGAUGCAGAUGGCAUUAGACAUUUUAAUAACAAAGAUACUCAUAUAUAUGACAUAAAUAACAUGUCAGUUCCUAAAAUUCUCUGGACCUGUCCUCCUUAUGUGAAGUCAUUACUAAAAUUUAAAAUACCCUGUUGAUUAUAUUUGACUCCCACAUACUUACUUAAUUCUACAGAUACUUUCUACUGUAGUCCAAAUUCCAAACAAAAAGGCAAACUUGACCUUCCAACCUCAUAGAGACCUUAAUAUGGUUUUUCGUGUUUUCAACAACAGAGAUAACCAUAACACUUGUGACACUUGGAGUUCUGAGACAGGUAAAUCGACACAAGGUGGAGCUGCCUGGGCCCCCCAUGGACCAUGCCUCAAAUGCAGCAGAAGACAUUGGGCAAGAGAGUGCCCCAUCCUGGCGUUCUUUGAGACCUUACCCCAGGGCUACUGGACUGUCCUAGCCACCAGAGAGAGGGUAAGUCAUCCUAACUUCCAGCCCUCACAGCAAAUGCCAACACUGCCAGAUUCAUCACCGACAGAUCUGCUUAAACUUGCUGCUGAAGACUGACGGGGCUCAGGGCCAACAACAGCCCCCUUUAUGGGUGUCCGUCUCAGCGUCCAAGUCCCACUAAAAGUCUCAGGUAAGACAUUCUCUAUACUUGUGGACAUAGAGGCCAUAUGUACAGAGUUCUUCCUGAGUUUUCAGGCCACUAUAUUAAUUCCUCAAAUCUCUAGCAGGUAUUAAAAGACAACCUAUGCCAUUUACAAACAGGGCCUAUUUCAUGCAGGUCCCAGUCCUAAAUCUUAAAAUGCUUUUUAGGGGCUGGGGAUGUAGUUCAGCGGCAUAAGCACCUGCCUUGCAAGCAGGCAAUCGUGAGUUCGAUCUCUGGUACCGAUAAAAACGAAAAAGACAAAAAAAUAAAAUAAAAUGCUUUUCAUUUCCUUGUGUUUAUACAGAUUGACUUAGACACACUGAGGCCUCAACAGCUUACACCUGUUAUCGCUAGUAUACCUCUCCUCAGUGAUAUAAGACCACCCCCUUCUUUUCUUAUUCACCAAUUUCUCAGGCAACUCUGGUCAAGACUGGCAGAUAAAUUUUGCCUUCUCACUUUGUUUAUACUUUUUCAGGAUACAUAAAAGCCUUCCACACAACCAGGGAAAUUGCUGAUAUACUUGCUAAAGUUCUGUUACAGAAAAUCAUUCCACGUACUACAACCAGGUUACAGCGACCCAUACCUGAUAUUCUUGGCAACCUCAACAGUGAUCAAAGUUGCUAGACUGCCAUUCUGGUUUUGCAUCACUCAGGCCCUAGAUCUAACCAUCCUGUUGCCUACUCUCUGCCUUACCAAGGCCUCAUAGCUACGACUCUCAGGCUGUCAUGUUUUGUUAUCCAAUUUGGUUUCUAAUUUCUUAUUCUUUUUACAGCAGGACUCUUAACAGUAUUUCCUAAAGACUCCAACAUCAUCCAUACCAGAGACAAGUUUUACCCAACUACCCUUUUAACUUUUAUGCUUUCAGAUGGGAGAGUAAUCACCUCUCAUAACUUCACUCCUCCUAACCCCACAUUUAAUUGUCAUUUAAUUUUACCUUACCGUGGAAAUGUUUCUACCUCAACAUAGUCUAUAAUGACAUGUCUAAAUCAAAGGCACCUUUCCUUCUACCUCACCUGGGUCCUUAAAUAUGACAAUGCCAUGCCUCCUCAUAACACCUUAUCUCUUUGUUUUUCCAGUCUAACAUACAUACAUUCACCAGUGAAGCUGUCCUGACUAAAACACCUGGCACCAGCUUCUACUUGGGAAUCAACUGUCAUCCUGUUGACUCCCCUCGACCCCAGUACAUCGCCCUCUUCCAGCAGGAAGCAGUUAAAGAGAGAAAUAUUUGCCCCUUUUCAUAAUAAUAACCAUAAGACAGUAUAUGAAAGAGUUUUGGCCCAGACAGGACACUGUAGCUGGUAAAGCCUCAGGCAGAACCAAGAAGCUGCAUCUCCCCCACCCCUAGGAAUUUACCUAUGGUGCCAAACCAAGACCAAAGGGCUACCUGUGCAUCCCUGAUGCCCCUUUAGGUUCCACCCCAAACCUAGGCUACUUAUAUGCCUCCAUUCCACGUGUUCCACGGAGAGAUUGCCAACCCCAGGGGGAGAUGCCGCGCCCCAGGCGGUCGGGGGUGUCUUUCCCCGCAUUCUCAAAAUAAAGGUCAUUUAUAUUUCACUCUUAUCUUUUCAGCCGCCGCCAGUCCCCCACAGUUCUAUCAAGUUCAAUUCCUGGUACCAGUUUAAAAAAAAAAAAAAGUCCCUAGAAAAGACAGUCUUUGGCAAACCAAUGGGGACCCCUUGUCUCUCUUAGAUAUAAGCUUUCCUUCUCUCAAUAAAUAUAUUCUGUGCCUAA